GUUAAAUGGCCAGCAGGAAUUAUCCACUAGAGAAGCGGAAGGGAGAGAAUGGAAAUGGCCGCAUGCAGCUCCUCUCCCUCAGACAGCUCGGGGCUCAGCGGAAUGAGCACAGUCUGCAGGACAAGUGCGGAGGACUUCAGUCCCCUCUACUGUAUAUUGGCUUUAGGACUCAAGUUGUCCCUGAAAUAGAGGAAGGUGUUUUCUAGGGUAGUGGUAAUUAUCACAGUCAAAAAAGUAGGCGAGAGCACUUAGGAAAACUGUGCGGAGAUCGGCUGCUGAUGUGUAAAUACUGCUGAAGCUGCUUAUUCAAGAUUAGAAAACCUGAGACCCAGACGGGGGAAACUGCUUUCCAUGGUUAAUCGUCAACAACUGGCCAGGAUGGGACAGAAGCCCAUACAUAGCCUUCAUUCCAGGGCUCAGAACAAAAAGAAGGCAGUGGCCUGGGCUGCACCUGAGCUUGGCUUCACAUAGGAGGGAUUCUGGAACGCAGGAUCCUGACAACGACCUCAAGCCCCUGUAAAGCAACACAUUUUUUGGCAAGAAUCCCUGGGACAGAGAAAGAAUUUCUUCUCACUUAUUAUUGAGAAUGUUCUCAUGUCUUGCAAGGCUCACUGCCCAGUAGAAGCUGAAAAGAUUCAGUAUGAGUAAAAGAAGAGAUCUGAAAUUUGCAGCUUGUCAUAGAAAGAACUGAGACUACCAUACACCUAAGAAGUCAAAGUUGCUAUUCAAGGGGAAGUGCAAACACAAGAUGAGGGAAACUGAUGUAUUUAGUGUCUACAUUUUACAAAUGGAUGCUUUUCAUAAUAUGAAAAUACUGCACCAUAAGAUUGCCAGUCACAACAGCACGGCUACAGUGAAAAUUGUCAGUCUUUUUUUUUUCCAGGAUCCCAGUGGAUUUGUUACGGUGAGAAAGCUUCACUUGGAGACAAAGCCAAAACCUUCCUCCCAGGCUCCCUUGGAUGUAGGGGGAAGCAAACUGGCUGUCCAGGCCUCUGAGCCACAUCUACACACCUCAUGAGAGGGCCUGUGCAACAUUGCCUUAGAGAUGGAGAGCAUUGCUUCAGAAUCAGGGAAGCCUAAAUUUCACCCCUGGGGCUGCCCCUUGUGAUCUUGAAUGGCUCCUGACAAGAGGCUGCUGGGGAGGCUCCUGCUCCCUGCCUUUCGGGACUGCCGUGGAUUGCCCAUUGAUGGGUCAAAAUCCAGCUACCUGGUAAUUCAAUGAGUCCCUAGUGUGCAUCCAAUAAAUUAUCUUCUGUUUAAAUUAGAACAAACUGUUUUUAAUCUGUGUGCUAAGAAUCUCAUUAAAUGCAUCAUAAAUUUCAAAAUCAAAAACUAAA